AGGAGAGAUUCUGUGAUAAGUCUUCCUUCUAGCUUGUCCCACAAGCAGUCGGUGUUUCCCUCUGUGAUCCAUCCCCUUCAGAGCUGAGACACUCAGGACUGAACAAACUGCACAGUUUCUGUGACUGAGCCUCCAAAACACCUUCUUUGAAACCACACAUGAUAGAAGGGCUUUAUAUUUGCAGCAGCACUACUAAAGUUGGCAGGAAUGUUGCUGCAGGAAAACAUCCCUGGAGAUCACCAUCAUUGUCAGACUGACUGUGCCUCCUCUGUGCAGUGUCAAGAUCCUCCCUAAAUGAGUGUUCCUCAGCUAUCCUGCUUCUGUGCUGCUUGCCACACAUCAAACACUGGCCGGAUGACAGG